AUUGAACGCUGGCGGCAGGCCUAACACAUGCAAGUCGAGCGAGUGGCGGACGGGUGAGUAAUGUCUGGGAAACUGCCCGAUAGAGGGGGAUAACUACUGGAAACGGUGGCUAAUACCGCAUACUAUCGGAUGAACCCAUAUGGGAUUAGCUAGUAGGUGGGGUAAAGGCUCACCUAGGCGACGAUCUCUAGCUGGUCUGAGAGGAUGAACAGCCACACUGGAACGGAGACACGGCCCAGACUCCUACGGGAGGCAGCAGUGGGGAAUUUUGGACAAUGGGGGCAACCCGGAUGCAGCCAUGCCGCGUGUAUGAAGAAGGCCUUCGGGUUGGAAAGUACUUUUAUCGGGGAGGCGGUACCUGAAGAAUAAGCACCGGCUAACUACGUGCCAGCAGCCGCGGUAAUAC
rnacentral:rRNA from 1 species